GACGAACGCUGGCGGCGUGCUUAACACAUGCAAGUCGAACGGAAAGGCCCUGCUUUUGUGGGGUGCUCGAGUGGCGAACGGGUGAGUAACACGUGAGUAACCUGCCCUUGACUUUGGGAUAACUUCAGGAAACUGGGGCUAAUACCGGAUAGGAGCUCCUGCUGCAUGGUGGGGGUUGGAAAGUUUCGGCGGUUGGGGAUGGACUCGCGGCUUAUCAGCUUGUUGGUGGGGUAGUGGCUUACCAAGGCUUUGACGGGUAGCCGGCCUGAGAGGGUGACCGGCCACAUUGGGACUGAGAUACGGCCCAGACUCCUACGGGGGGCAGCAGUGGGGAAUAGUACACUAUGGGCGGAAGCCUGAUGCAGCAACGCCGCGUGCGGGAUGACGGCCUUCGGGUUGUAAACCGCUUUCGCCUGUGACGAAGCGUGAGUGACGGUAAUGGGUAAAGAAGCACCGGCUAACUACGUG
rnacentral:rRNA from 1 species